GCGGGUGUGGCGGAACUGGUAGACGCGGCGGACUCAAAAUCCGCUUCUCUUGCAGAGUGUCGGUUCGAUUCCGACCACCCGUACCA
rnacentral:tRNA from 1 species